CUGAGAGGGAGAGAAUUUUUUUAUUUUUUCCUUUUUCUGGUAGAUCAUCAACAACUUCGGAUGUAUUUAGCGGAGACUAUAUCCUAUGUUGGACCAAUCAUAUCUAUUCCUCUCCUCCUAUCUUUAUAAAUCCUCUUAUAUCUCUUCAAAUCCUCACUCGGUUUCUGGUUUUACCCUAUGCCCAGCCAGGUGGGUUUCCUUUGGUUCAAGGUGGGUAAUGGUAUUCUUCUAGGGUUGGGGUUUGGCGAUCUGGUUGCUUGAUGAGAUCUCAGAAAAACCAUUGAUCAGUCAGUAUUGGCGGAUGCGUCACCAUCAAGAUUCACAAAACUAUGAAGGCUUCAUCGGGACGGUGAGUGUACGGCCGGCGGCGGUGGCUCUUCUUACUUAAAAGGUUUCCUUUUUCGUAUGAGAAUCUUGAUGAUGCUGCAUCGGCAAAUAUCUGACUACAAUAUGGGGACUUGUUUACUUACCUUAUCAAAGUAUCAUAAUUCGCCAGGGAUACGGAGGAAAUGAGUUCCGGGUUUGCUGGAUCAAGGUAUUAAAGAACUACUUUAAGUUGCUCGAUUAUUACAAUGAAGAUUUGUUUAAACUUCCCUCAAAAUUUGCCGUAUCGUUGAAUCGACAAGCAUUUAAAUGGCUAAAAAUAGGUAAGGUGGCUGUCUCUACCUACAAAUCGGCGAUCGCUGUGUGCUUAUUCAUCCACUUCUCACAAGGAACGGUGGUUCUCUCUUAGGCUUUUUUUUUUUUUUUAAUUUAUUUAAUGUUAGAGGUAAACUCUUCUCCUCCCUUGUAGUGCUCUCUGCUAGCCAUUUUAUUAUGCCACUUUCCAUGGUUUGGAUAAGUCCAACGUUACUGCAAUUUUAGGCAUACUGUGCUACUGCAGAGGUUUAUUAUUUAUACUAAAUAUUUUCUUUUCUUCGUA